rnacentral:lncRNA from 1 species
UGCUGGUGAGCAGUACGCUAUUGCUGGUUUAUGUUUAAGGAAUGAGGUUCAUCUAGGAUUUUGUUAUUACGUAUCUCAGAAAGCAUUUGUCAAGGAAUCAUGACACGGGCUUUUCCAUCCAGACGGGUUUCUGUGUACAGCAUACCAGCUCCAUACCACCCUGAGCAGGCUGAUGGGCAGGAAAAUCUGUAUAUUCACUACUGCACAUCUUACCAAAAGGGCUUGUGUCAGAAGUACUAUUUCUUCAAAUGGAUGAGACUGUGUUUCUGGAGAAGACGGCUUCUAGGAAUAUUAUCUCUAGUUUCUUUAUCAGUUACAGUAAUUGUGCUAAUCCUGCACUGUUCGCUCUGUAAGUGUUAUUCCCCAGCACUGUCUGGAUGGGAUGGUGGUUUUGAACUGCGUGAAUGGUUA